CAGUCGCCACGGUAAUACGAAGGGGGCUAGCGUUGCUCGGAAUCACUGGGCGUAAAGGGCGCGUAGGCGGACUCUUAAGUCGGGGGUGAAAGCCCAGGGCUCAACCCUGGAAUUGCCUUCGAUACUGGGAGCCUUGAGUUCGGAAGAGGUUGGUGGAACUGCGAGUGUAGAGGUGAAAUUCGUAGAUAUUCGCAAGAACACCAGUGGCGAGGGCGGCCAACUGGUCCGAUACUGACGCUGAGGUGCGAAAGCGUGGGGAGCAAACAGGAUUAGAUACCCCAGUAGUCCCUGUCUCUUAUAC
rnacentral:rRNA from 1 species